rnacentral:lncRNA from 1 species
AAGGCUAUUGUCUUCGAACAAAGGGCAAGACGGCAUUGCCAGCUUCUUCUGUCUUCUGCUUUUGAUCAAUGAGAGCUAAGAAUGGUUGUGUGGGGUGUGUUAUGUAGCCUGUAGAUGCUUGUGGUAUUUGAAUUGUAAUUCUAACUCCUAUGAUGAAUUUAUUAUUUAAUAAGCAUCAGCUCUGUUCAGAGAAAGGUUGUAUUUUUGAAGUAUGGACUAUGGAGAAGUAACCUAAAAUGAUGGCUAGUCUUUUUUGGGGUGGCACCCACUUGCUCAUUUCUCUUUGAGGUAACUUGUGCUUAAGUGGCUU